rnacentral:tRNA from 2 species
GCAGCGGUAUCGAAGUGGUCAUAACGGGGCUGACUCGAAAUCAGUUUGAUGGAGACAUCACGUGGGUUCGAAUCCCACCCGCUGCGCCA